UACGAAGGGGGCUAGCGUUGCUCGGAAUCACUGGGCGUAAAGCGCACGUAGGCGGACUCUUAAGUCGGUGGUGAAAUCCUGGAGCUCAACUCCAGAACUGCCUUCGAUACUGAGAGUCUUGAGUCCGGGAGAGGUGAGUGGAACUGCGAGUGUAGAGGUGAAAUCGUAGAUAUUUCGCAAGAACACCAGUGGCGAAGGCGGCUCACUGGCCCGGUACUGACGCUGAGGUGCGAAAGCGUGGGGAGCAAACGGG
rnacentral:rRNA from 1 species